AUUGCUUCUGCGGACAAUGUCAAGGGUGGCAGGUACGAUGGAAGCAUGUCUACAUGGGAAAACUCCGACACUCCACCCCUUUCUUCUUGGAAACCUGCCUAGAAGCGUGUCUGCUUCUGUUGCUGCAUCUUUGAUGUGCAGAGGUUGAGCAUUUGCCGCUGAAGUAAUUUGAGUUUAUGUUGUGUGGCUGUUAUAAGUAUGUGUAAUAAGAGAGUGACUGUUUUCAUUUUGUACAUGUGACAUUCACUAUGAUAAGAUUAUGGAUGUGUACUAACCUUACUGGGGAAAGAUCACUCGAUAAACACGAGAGCGAGUUGAAUACGAACUGAGCCUGCCGUGUCGACUUUAUUGGGGUGACUUUUAGAAUCUGAGAAAUCGGGAUUUUGAAGAAUUCAAACUCAGUCGUACAUACUAGAGUGGUAUUCUCCACCAACCAUGAGUUCAAUCUCUUAAGACUGGAUGCUGCACAUAGAUGCAAAGCUUCGCUUUGUGUUUGGUUUGGUAGCGAAGUUAAGGAACAGUAAAAUGUUACCGGAUGUUCUCGCGAAAACGAAGUUGGGGAUAAAAUGCUGGCGCGGAUGAUAUGAGCGUCGGGGAAAUCGAGGGUUUCUUGUUCAAGUUUCACCACCUACGGUUCAUGAGCUUUUAUGUAGCUCGAUACCUUCGCUCAAUGCCUCUGCAUUAUUAUAAAACAGUCGGAGAUAUUGCGCAAGUUUCCUAAAAUUAAAAACGACACUUCUAUUGUUUUUUAUUUGGAGUUAGAGUGGUGCAAUGUUGUUUUGUUUUGGUUUAGGAAAAUAACGCAAAUAGUCACUACACUUUGGUCCAAUGUGUUAUGUUCUUACUGAAUUUUUAACUUGUUUAAUAUGGUUGUCGAGCUUUUUGUAUAUGUUUAAUUUAAAUCCUAGGCUAGAUAAAUCCAAUGAUGCCGUGUUUGGUCGGUUCGAAGAUCGUUGCUAUAUGGGAUAAUGAUAGGAUAAAAAUCCCAUCUAAUAUUUCUUGACGUCUGGAUAUAACAUGAUUCAAAUAAUUUUUUUUUUAAACGAGUGUUUGAUUUGUAUAAUUAAAAUUAAAAAUAAACCAUGGAAGUCGUGAAUACUAUUCAUCCUUUCACAAUCUUCAUCCAUAUCAAGCACCCCCGUUCCAUGUGACUUCAAGGACGCUCGCUCCUUCUGCAACACCCCUUUCGCUGCCCUUGAUCAACUUGAUGGAUUACGCUCGCUCUGCCUUUUGACUUCGCCACAUUGAGAGGCCCUUGGGUUUGAGUUCUCCGCUGGUCUAGCCAUCUUUAUUUUCAACGCCUUUUCCUGCGAUGAAUCCAUCCCCCUCGACGAGUGUGAAUGCCGCGUUGAUUCCCUGUUACCGUGCUCCGACUUGUUCAGUCGCUUCAACAGCUUCCCCCGAGACAGCGUGCGGAUCCGGUUUAUGAGUGGUAGCAGCAUCGGUACUACUCGCUCCGAGUGACGUGGUUGAGGAGCUCUAUCACCUUGGCUGCCGCCUCUUUCGGAUCAUCUUCUUCACAGAGGAGGUGUCCAGCUUUGAUCGGGAUCACAAAUUUCCCUACUAAAAUGAAGUUGAGUGACACAAGAAAGAGGCAGGGCUGACGAGCUCCGCGAUACUCAUGCUCAUGCUCUAAUUUUGUGGUGGUCAUUUUAGCGAGACAAAUUGGAACAAGAGAGAGAUGAUGGUGGCACUGGUCAAAAGCGAGGAUAAGCUAUAAAAAGCGCCCCGCCGCCCGGGGGGGGGGGGGGGGGGGGGGGGGGGGUCAGUUUUUCAAAUUUCACAUAUUUUAUCUGGAUUUAUAUCACUUUCUAGAUGUGAUUUUUUAUCCGUGCUAUAUCCUAAUUUCACAUUACUCUAGACACCAUAUAGGAUUAAACUUAUCAUAUUAGAGUUUUAUCCAGCCCUUCAAAUGCAGUCUUAUGAGAUAGAAUGCAAUGAUAUAAUCUGUGAACUAAAUUUAAACAUUUAUUAAAAGUUUACGAACGGAAUUUCACAUUUUGAUUGUUAAGAUGCAUGAGUGAGUUAUGUUAAAAUAAUCACACAAUAUAUUGAUAGCUUUAAAAAUGGGCUUUCUCUUGGUGAUGACGUUGAUCCAUAUAGAGAAAUUAAUGAGAGGGUUUAUUUGGCCUAACUAAAUGGGAGGCUAUAUCAAUGGGAGGUUUUUCAUUGUAACAUUCCCUUGUGCUUGGAAUUUGUUUUUUAGUAAAGGAUUUUAUUAGCGUAAUAAUAGUCUUUGGGUUAUUAUGUGAAUAACAAUUUAUUGUGAGUCACAAAUUUUUUAAAGUAAUGAACCCCAUAAUAAUUUCAAUUAUUUGUUACUUGAUUUUUUGUAGUUUAGAAUAAAAAUUAUCACCAAGUUAUUUCUUUUUAACAAAUAUAUUGCUCUAACUGUUGUUUUCAAUUAAGUUUGCAUCGGAGAAGAGAUUAUUUUGUUUUGCUACGCUUGUCGGAUAUUGCACAGGAUAUUGUCAUUUUCUUAGCACUAGCAACGUUGCGUUCAGACAAGGCGGCAUGGAAUUAUUUGCUCAGCUGCACAUCACACGACCAUACAUUCAUGGACUGUUCCUCAGGAAAGCAUAUAGACAUGUGGCAGAUGCAGAACAUUUCACGAGAUUAAAAAAAAGAAAAUAAUUUUUAAAAAACAAUACUUUCGACUUCAAAACGUGCCAAUCGAACGCCUGCUACUCCCGCCUAUAAAGCUCGGCUCACCCAACGGCUUCGUUGUCGUCUCGAACUGUCCAUUCUCCAUUCUCUGUUCUUGCAUCGACCUCGAGCUAGACGAUGGUGGCAAUGGCGUCGUCAGACGGUGAGGAGGAUCAAGUUGGGGUCGUAGGGUCUCAAGGUCUCGGCGCAGGGGCUGGGCUUGCAUGGGCAUGUUGGAAGAUAUGCGGAUUGCCUGAUUUGAUUUGAUCUUAAUUGAUCAUGAUUAAUCACGAUCUUCAUGUAUAUGUAAAUUAAAAAUUAGAUCUAGAUCUCGAUUGAUAAUCCAGAUCAUUUACUUCCUUAUUCAAGAUAGAGCUUGUAUUAUAUCUCUGCAAAAUUGUACAUUCAGAUUGUAAUAGUGAUAAUACAGAAAAAUCUCCCCACAUCGAUUCCCAUUUUCCUCUCCAAACUUCAUCCGUUCUUCCUUCACUCUUGCCUUCUUUCAUGGUAUCAGAGCAGCUUUGAUCUCUGACUCGCUUCCGUUCCAAACCACUGCUGAAGAAAAUUCUCAACCUGCAAAAGGGUUGAUCUUUCGGCAUUAGGCAUACUCUCGAAGGAAGAAAUUUAAAUUAUCUUACUAUGGCCUCUCCGCAGGACUCCAGUCUGGCUGCUGACGACAGGACCACCGAAGAAAGUAGUCCUCAAGCUCCACAGAUCCAGAAUCUCCCUGCAGUAAUACCAGUAUCCACCCAACCCCAGCAGUGGCGGCCCACGCAGGCUCAGUUUCAAUUGGGGCAACCCACGACGGGUCAACCAUACUAGUGGAUCCCCUAUCCACUCUAUUUUGGGCCAAGCCCAAAUUUCUCAUCGCCUUUUUUCGUGGGCCACCAGAAUCACAAUGGAGGCCCGCCAGCCACGAAUGGGGCAAGCCCAUCCAUCGCGAGAGAGCAGACGGGCGGUUCAAGCGAAUCGGGUACGGGGCAUAAUCCCUACCCGGGACAUGUCAAUGCGGGGUAUCUAGUUGGAUUGAGCGAAUCGGGUCAAGGGACGAAUCCCUACCCGAAUUUCGCACCGGGUUUUCUGUCCAUUCCAGCGGCGGCGUUCACUGGGCGACUAGAAAUAGGCGAUCCUCUGUUUGUCUCCACCGCUGACGGAUCGGAGCUUUGACUGAUAAACCAGCAACUAACCGGACUAGAGACCUAUUCGAAGUGGUCACAGGAGCUCCGGCGGGCAUUGGUGACAAAAGACAAAGACGGAUUUCUCGAUGGGACAAUUUCCAUCCCCUCCGAUGAACGCCUAGCCGGACACUGGCGGAAAUGCAAUCAACUCGUCCGAAUGUGGAUCAGAAAUUGCAUAUCCCCAGAAGUCAUGGCUGGGCUUCCACCCACAGAGGAUGCCAAAACCAUGUGGGAAAACAUUCGAGAAAUAUACGGUAAAAUGGAUCAAGCAAAAGUUUUUAAUCUUAUGCAGGAAAUUAGCGAACUCAAACAGGGAAAUUCGACGGUCACGGCCUGCUUCAACAGGCUAUCGUCCCUCCUGAAUCAACUCGAAGCAGUAGAAGAAAAGCUCGAAGGGCCAGAAUCUACCCUCAAGCAGUACAAACAAAUCAAAGAGAGAGAAAAAGCCACGCGAUUCUUGCUGAUUUUAAACGAAUCGUACCUCACGUUUCGGUCACAGAUCCUUGUCAUGGAUCCCAUGCCACCGAUCGGACGUAUUUACAAACUGGCGAUGCAGGAGGAGAGUCAGCGACUCACAAUCACGAACAACGGUGAGAGCAUCGCUCUGGCUGCCCGCGGAGAGGGGAGAACCCUAACCCUAGCUCGUGAAAAUGAAAAGAAAAGCCCUUUAGGGUUCGACGAGCUCGAUUCGCGCGGGCUUAAAAGGGAUGGGAUGAACGGCCAGGAUUACAUGCAAGGAUCGAGCGGCUUAGAUUACUCCCGAAAAUAUGACGGCCCAGAUUACGCAUGGAGAUCCGACGGUCGUCAAGGAAUCGAAAUUGCGCCUGGAUUGGACGGUGGACAGCAGAUCGCGAUCAAAGGAACGGACGGCCAGAUCUUCACCACGUCAUCAAAGAAUUUCGCAAAUUUUUUUAAAGGAAAGGGGUAAAUUUUUUUGCGAUUAUUGCAAACGUACUAAUCAUACCAUUGACAGUUGCUGGAAAUUACACGGGAAGCCGGGAGAAAAGGAGAAAAAAAUUUCCACAGCUUAUCAAGUCACUGGACCAGCUGGUCCAAAAAUUGACCAGCCAAUCUCAUAUGGUCAAUAUCAGCAACUCAUGCAAAAACUACAGAAGAUGGAAAUUUCCAACAAAGGGGGCAAUUUCUCAGGUAUUUCACAUUGCCUAAUUAAUUCCAUUUCCAGGAAGGCGUGGAUUAUAAUUCUGGGGCAAGUGACCAUAUUAUACGCGACAAGGGAUUUUUUUUUCAAAUAUAAAUGAAAGUUUGAAUUUUCCUGUCUCCGUACAAUUACCCAACGGAAAUGUUACUCAUGUCAAAGUGAUAGGAACAGUGAAUCUCAGUCCUCAGAUUAUUCUCUAGAAUGUGCUAUAUGUCCCAGAAUUCCAAUUCAACCUCAUAUCUGUGUCUCAAGUCUGCAAAGAGAACUCAUGCCGGGUAAUAUUCAAUGCUGACACAUGUUUAUUUCAGGCCCUUUCGACUGGAAGACAGAUGGACUUGGGUAAUCUUUCUGAAGGACUCUAUUUCUGGACGAGUUUUCCAAGUAAUUUCAAUUUUCCAUGCAAUUCCUUGAAUAAAAAAUCAUUGUGUAAUUCAACUGCCAAUGAUAGAAAUUUGACUAUGCAUAUGAGAUUGGGUCACAGUGCUUCAUUUUCAUAUCAUGAAUGUCUUAUAUGUCCCCUUGCAAAGCAAUCUCGCACACCAUUUUCUUCUAGUACUUCACGGACUAGUCAAAUAUUUGCAUUACUUCACGUGGACAUUUGGGGACCUUAUCAUACAGUCAAUCAUGAUGGCUCCCGUUAUUUUCUUACGAUAGUAGAUGACUAUUCUCGGGCAACAUGGAUCUUCCUAAUACAAUAAAAAAAUUAGGUCUAUUCUCACCUGAAAAAUUUCAUUAUGCUAUCUAAGAACCAAUUCAGGAAAUCCAUUCAGCGGAUUCGCACAGAUAACGGGAGAGAAUUCUUCAGUCAUGAAUGCUCCCAGUUAUUCAAUUCUCAUGGUAUUCGACACGAAAGUUCCUGCAUUUACUCACCACAACAAAAUGGAGUGGUUGAAAGAAAGCAUCGCCAUCUACUGGAAGUGGCUCGUGCCUUGAAAUUUCAAGCAUCAAUUCCAGAAAGAUAUUGGGGUGACUGUGUCACCAUAGCAGCUUAUCUUAUUAAUAGAAUGCCUACUCGGAUUCUUAAUGGACAGAUGCCAUUCGAGCUGUUAUUUGGGAAGAAACCGGACUUGAAUCAUCUCAAGAUCUUCGGAUGUCUCUGCUAUGCUGCAAUCAUGGGGCCUCGAGAUAAAAUGAGCCCAUGUGCGCGGCGAUGCGUCUUUAUGGGAUAUCCCAAUCUCCAGAAGGGGUAUCGGGUGCUUGAGAUUUCCACAGGAGAAUUCAUAGUAAGUCAUGAUGUCAUUUUCCAUGAAACUACUUUUCCAUUUUAUGAAGGGGAAUCUUCACAUGGAGAUCCAAAGAUAACUUCCAGCCAUCAUAAUUUUCUCAAUGAUGAAGCACCAUACCGGGAUCUUUCCUAUGUACCAAUAGUACAGCCGAGGGAUCCUAUUCUUCCUACAGUCCCAGUUCUACAAGAUUCUAAUGGAAAUUCGAAUUCUUCAGAACAUAUUCAGGGAGAUAUCUUGGAGGAACCCAUUGCUGAUGCAGAAGUUGAUGACACUACAACAACUUCAUUACCAGCAACAUCACAGCCCACCACCGAAGCUGGACAUCCUAGGAGGUCUGAACGAGCUACAAGACCACCAACCCGGACGAAAGAUUAUGUCUGUACUACUCACAACUCUCCAAGUAUUCAGUAUCCAGUCUCUUCAUAUGUUUCCUUUGAUAGAUUGUCUCAAGAACAUAGAUGUUGUAUUAGUCGAUUGUUUGAAGAGAAAGAACCGUCCAGUUAUAAAGAAGCCUCCAAUAACCCAAAAUGGCAAGAGACCAUGAAGGCAGAAUUGAAGGCCCUUACUGAUAAUCAUACAUGGGAUCUUGUUCCAUUACCAGCUCAUCGUAAACCAAUUGGAUGCAAAUGGGUUUACAAAAUCAAGUAUCGGGCUGAUGGCUCCAUUGAACGGUACAAGGCAAGAUUGGUAGCUAAGGGGUUCACCCAAAGAGAAGGUUUUGACUACCACGAGACGUUCUCACCAGUUGCCAAAGAUGUUACAGUCCGUUCAUUCUUAGCUGUUGCUGCCAUCAAUGACUGGCACCUACACCAGAUGGAUGUCCAUAAUGCUUUUCUCCAUGGCAAUCUAGAUGAAGAGAUCUACAUGAAUAUUCCUCAAGGCAUACAGAGACAGGGGGAUAAUAAGGUGUGUCGUCUCCGUAAAUCCCUUUAUGGAUUAAAACAGGCAUCCGGACAAUGGUAUGCUAAAUUUGCCAGUGCUCUUACAACAGCAGGCUUCAAGCAAUCCAAGCAUGAUUAUGCUCUGUUCUAAAAAACUAAAGGUAUGUCAUCUAUCUAUUUGAUGAUUUAUGUCGAUGACAUACUUGUUAUGGGAAAUGAUAGAGCCUCUAUAGAGAAUUUCAAGGAAUAUUUGCAUGCUACCUUCCAUAUUAAAGACUUAGGAGCACCAAAAUAUUUCCUUGGAAUCGAAGUUGCUCGAUCUGACAAGGGAAUUUCCCUUAGUCAGCGGAAGUUCAUUCUAGAAAUCAUAUCAGAAGUAGGUCUAUUAGGAUGCAAGCUAGCUGUAAUUCCUAUAGAGCAAAACACUAAGUUGACCAUCGCAGACUAUGAUAAGGGAAUAUUUCGAAAUGAUGAUUCCUUACUCAGUGAUCCGUCAGGCUAUCAAAGACUUGUUGGGAAACUUAUAUACCUGACAAUGACUAGACCUGAUAUCUUAUAUGCGGUUCAGACACUUAGCCAGUUUAUGCAUCAACCAAAGCGUUCUCAUUUGGAUGCAGCCUUAAAGGUCGUUAAAUAUCUCAAGAAAUGUCCGGGGCUAGGGAUACUUCUCUCUAAGGAAUGUGACAUGAGGAUGACAGCAUAUUGUGAUGCAGACUAUGCAACAUGUCCGAUUAGUCGAAGAUCUGUUACUGGAUAUUGCAUUAAAUUGGGAGGAUCUCUUCUAUCUUGGAAAACCAAGAAACAAGCUACUGUGUCUCUGUCCUCAGCCGAAGCAGAAUAUCGAGCUGUGGCCAAGGCCACUUGUCAAGUAGUUUGGAUGCGAGGAUUACUCAAGGAUCUUGGAGUAGAAGUGCAAGGACCCACAAGGUUAUAUUGUGAUAAUGAUACAGCUCUUAAACUUGCAACUAAUCCUAUAGUACAUGAAAGAACCAAGCAUAUAGAAGUGGAUUGUCACUUCACACGGGAAAAGAUCCAGGAAGGAGUAAUUGAGACGAGGAAUUUGGACAACGGAGCAACCAGUAGACUUGUUCACCAAGCCCCUAUGUCAGAGGCAACAUGCAUAUCUAUUAAAAAAGCUAGGCGUCUUGGACAUCUACAAGCCACCAGCUUGAGGGGGAGUGUUGGAAGAUAUGUGGAUUGCCUGAUUUGAUUUGAUCUUAAUUGAUCAUGAUUAAUCACGAUCUUCAUGUAUAUGUAAAUUAAAAAUUAGAUCUAGAUCUAGAUUGAUAGUCUAGAUCAUUUACUUCCUUAUUCAAGAUAGAGCUUGUAUUAUAUCUCUGCAGAAUUGUACAUUCAGAUUGUAAUAGUGAUAAUACAGAAAAAUCUCCCCACAUCGAUUCCCAUUUUCCUCUCUAAACUUCAUCCGUUCUUCCUUCACUCUUGCCUUCUUUCAGGGCAUAUCUACUUUGCCGGCCCUCCCAAGCCCAACCCCGACACGAUCGAGCUUGUCCACCACGCCGUUGAAUCUGGCGUUGCCUUCCUCGACACCUCCGACAUCUAUGGCCUUAACGCCAAGGAAGUCCUCCUUGGAAAGGUCGGUAUUUAUUUUGUAGAUAUAAUUGAAGAUCUUGAUCGUGACGCCAAUCCUAAUUGCGGACUAAUUGAUUUGGUCAAUUUGUGAUUGUUUAGUGAAUAUGGAAAUUUUUGUAAUUCUUUAUAUAUUAUUUCAUUUUUUCUCUUUCAUUCUUACACUAUAAAUAGACCAAUGAACUAAUAUACAGAUCAAUCAAUAUACAACAAAAUUUUCUUCAUUUUCUCUUUUGUUUUCUAUUAUGUUAUCAGUGUCAUUCUUCCUCGCCUAGCUUCCCAUAUCUUAGAGUUGCCUUUCUUUUUUUCUUUGUUUUUUUUUUUUUUUUGGUUAUUGCAAGUCCUCAUCCUGCAAUACAAAUCAGCAAAUCGAUUAGGAAUUCAAUUUUUUUUUUCAAUACCAAGGCAAAAAAUAAGAACACUGAGAGCUCCAUGAUAGAGGAGACACCUACCUCACCUCAAAAUCAAGCCCCAUCGCCGUCGGAUUCGAUUAUGAUUUGGGACAAUAUAUUUUAAUCAUUUCGAGAUAAUCUUUAACUGAUCAUGCUCUUCCAGAUACACAGCAAUUGCGCACUUCCAAAUGCUUAUUAUGUCAAGUAACAUGACAAUCUGAUGGCAUGCAACGCAACCAAUUUUGCACUCGUUGAUGUAGAAUUUGGCGUUAAAAGGAAAAUGAUGGUUGCUCGUAUGCUCUCUGCUUAGACAUUGCUUUAUGUUAUGAAGUACCUACCAAGGCUGCGGCCAGAGAACUUGGCUAAUGCAAAGUUAUUCGACCAAGUGAAUGAAAUUGCACAAAGAAAGGGAUGCACCCCAUUGCAGUUAACCCUCGCCUGGGUACACCACUGGAGUGAUGACGUUUGCCCGAUUACCGGCACGAUCAAGAUCGAGAAUUUCAACCAGAACAUUGGAGCUCUGUCAGUGAAGCUUUCGCCAGAAGAGAUGGCCAAGCUCAAAUCGAUUGCUUAUACGGACAAUGUCAGGCGUGAGAAUUAAAACCACAUUUGAUACUAAAUUAUGCCUAGGUAGGAAUUCAAAACUCCACCUCCCGCUUUUCAUGUGGGAAGGUUGGCCCCACCUCGCGCUUAUGGAAAGAGUAAUCACGAAGACAUCACAAUAGUUCAAUUGACGUGAGCAGGUACGUCUUCCCUACAUGGUAAGGGUCGUCACUGGGCGUGCAAUUGACGUAAGCACGUGCGUCUUCACAGCCACUACCGCUCCCCUCCUACUCAUCGUAGCUUCUGCCACUACCCUCCUAUAAAUCUCGGCUCGCCCGACGACUUCGCCAUCGUCUCGGUGCAGUGCAGGGAACGAUCGAGCUCGAGCUAGACUACGGCAAUGGCGGCAUCGACGACGACGGUGAGGAGGAUCAAGCUGGGGUCGCAGGGCCUGGAGGUGUCGGCGCAGGGGCUGGGCUGCAUGAGCAUGUCCGCCUUCUACGGCCCUCCCAAGUCCGAGCCCGACAUGAUCGCCCUCAUCCACCACGCCGUCGGCUCCGGCGUCACCUUCCUCGACACCUCCGACUUCUACGGUCCUCACACCAACGAAAUCCUCCUCGGAAAGGUCGUUCUCUCAGUCUCUCUUUUGCCUCUGCAUGAAUUAUAUAUGCUUAUGGUUUUACGGAACUUAGCUUCAUCGAGCAGGAUGCUCUGAUCCUGCGCCUUGGUUUUCUGAUUUCGGGGUUGAUUUUGAGCAGGCACUGAAGGGAGGGGUGAGGCAGAAGGUGGAAUUGGCGACCAAGUUCGGAAUCAGAUUGGCGGACGGGAAGAGGGAGAUCCAGGGCGAUCCGGCGUACGUGAGGGCUGCUUGCGAGGCCAGCUUGAAGCGGCUCGACAUCGAUUGCAUCGACCUCUACUACCAGCACCGUAUCGACACUCGCGUCCCCAUUGAAGUCACUGUAUGGAUCCCUUAUCAAACUUUCACCUCGCUUGAGACUUUCUCUGAGCCAUACGAUGCAUCGUCAUGUUGUUACAAGUUUGUUGAAUUUUGUUAAAUGACACUUAAGUUCAGCUGAUAGCAGAGUUCAAGAUGCGGCACGGUGUUGUUCAAGGGUUGUGGAAUUUAGUAGUUUAGUGGCUUGAGUUUUCGUUUUGUGGGAAUCUUUUACAAGUUAAGGGUCAACAAGCAUGGAAAUUAUUCGAAAUCUUCCUUUGAGAUGAAAGUGCUCCGGGGUUCAUCCUGAAUUUAUAUACGGGAAUCACAUAUAAAGUUGUUCCUGGACUUUAUACGGAGACAUUUGAUUCUUGACAUAUUGUGAAAUAUGACAAGUACUUGGAAUACUUCUUUUAUUUGCUCUCUUCUGUGAGAGAUUCAAGAAAUCUACCUCCGUUAACUCAAUUCCUUGUGGGUUUUUUGUCGCAUUGAGAUGCAUGAUAAUUGAGGGAUCUAGACACAAAAAGCUAAUGACAAAAAUAAUUUUCUGGAUCUUAACAUGUAAGAUCUUGAUGUUGUUGUUCUGUCAUGUGAAUAUGCACAGAUCGGAGAGCUAAAGAAGCUCGUUGAAGAGGGUAAGAUAAAGUACAUCGGUUUAUCCGAGGCCUCUGCAUCAACAAUCAGAAGAGCACAUGCUGUUCAUCCCAUCACAGCAGUGCAAUUGGAGUGGUCGCUUUGGUCCAGAGAUGUGGAGGCGGACAUCGUUCCAACGUGCAGGUAGGAUAUCACUCCGUUAAUUGUUUAUGCAGCAACAACAGCUUCCUUCUGACUCUGCUUUUCCUUUAAAAUGUUGACUAGGGAGCUUGGCAUUGGAAUUGUUGCCUACAGUCCUUUAGGACGAGGAUUCUUUUCUGUUGGCUCCAAGUUGGCGGAGAAUUUCUCAAAGGAUGACUUCAGACAGGUCUGUUUCUGCUGGUCGACAUAAUUAGAUGCUCACAGUGACUGUCAUUCUCAUUGAAGUGCUGGAAACCUGUUCUUGUGGUAUAAAGAAAAGUUUCUGGAUGGGAUGAAUAAAACUUGGUGACACAAAUGCAUCACGUUCUUAUAUGUCUUCAAUCCAGCACUCGCCAGACAUACUACCUCUCUCGAUUCUAGAUAAAUGUAAAAUCACAAGUAAUGGCUUUAGUGAGCCUGAAAGAGGUAGGUUCCCGGAUUCUCAUUCUUUUGGGAAUGAAUACAUAUAGGUUUAUAUGUAAGUUGCUCUGUUUCCCAGCCUUCCCAACAUUUGCUUAUCACUAUCCUUUCCCCACUUUCCACCCACCCUUUUUCUCUCAUCUUUCUUCACAAGAUUAGCGAUAUUUCCUCGAAAUAACUGACGCCAGUAUCGGGCUCUGGCCUUCCGUCCUUUUUCAUUCUCAUCUUUCUUCACAAGAUAAACUAUAUCUUGACACAACCAUUUCUUGAGUGAGGACUCACGACACCCUUCUUAUGAGAGUUUUGGAUCAAGUUCCCAUCUGACAUAAAGCCAAUUGUGUAUUACUCCCUGCCAUUAGCGUUUGACUAGCGAUAGCGCUGGGCAAGUGAAGUAGCUAUUUUUCUUUGUAGCUAAAAGAGCUCUGCGUCUGAUAACAUUCUUCUACACAUCAUCUACAUUUCUGAUUUUUUAUUUUAUGUGUGACUAAUGGUAUCAUCACACGUACAAAACUUAGAUUGUCGAGUUUGUUUCUGUUUUCACAUCCUACAUCAAGCCCAUCAGCCUUGUGUGGUAGUUGCUAGAUCACUUCGCUUGACGUUUCUAAUGCUUAUGAUUUGGGACAUGAUAUUUUAAUCAUUUCAAGAUUAUUUAUAACUGAUCAUGCUUAUCCAGAUAGACAACGAUUGCACACUUCUAAAUGCUUAUUAUGUCAAGUAACAAGACAAUCUGAUGGCAUGCAAUGCAACCACUUUUGCACUUGUUGCUGUAGAAUUUAGCCUUAAAAGGAAAAUGAUAAUUGCAAUUGCUUUCUGCUGAGACAUUGCUCUAUGUUAUGCAGUAUCAUCCAAGGUUCCAGCCAGAGAACUUGGCUCACAACACGAAGUUAUUUGACCGAGUGAAUGAAAUUGCGCAAAGAAAGGGAUGCACCCCAUCUCAGUUAGCCCUGGCCUGGGUACACCACCAUGGUGACGACAUUUGCCCGAUUCCCGGCACAACCAAGAUCGAGAAUUUCAACCAGAACAUUGGAGCUCUGUCAGUGAAGCUUACACAGGAAGAGAUGGCCGAGCUUGAAUUGAUUGCUUCUGCGGACAAUGUCAAGGGUGGCAGGUAUGAUGGAAGCAUAUCUACAUGGGAAAACUCCGACACUCCACCCCUUUCUUCUUGGAAACCUGCCUAGAAGCGUGUCUGCUUCUGUUGCUGCAUCUUUGAUGUGCAGAGUUUGAGCAUUUGCCGCUGAAGUAAUUUGAGUUGAUGUUGUGUGGCUGUUAUAAGUAUGUGUAAUAAGAGAGUGACUGUUUUCAUUUUGUACAUGUGACAUUCACUAUGAGAAGAUUAUGGAUGUGUACUAACCUUACUGGGGAAAGAUCACUCGAUAAACACGAGAGCGAGUUGAAUAUGAACUGAGCCUGCCUUGUCGACUUUAUGGGGUGACUUUUAGAAUCAAUUGGGAUUUUGAAGAAUUCAAACUCAGUCGUACAUACCGCUGGAAAUAUGGCUUCGAAAUUGGGUAGAACAAUGAAAUCGGAUCGAGUAAAAUAACUCGGACUUUGAGGCGCGAUAUCACUUUCUUUAAGGAUUUAUUUACCCCACAACGUUGCUAAUGGUCACCAGCAAAAAUCCUCCAGGAUACAACAAAGUCUCGGAUGAGAAUACUAGAUAGCAAUUCAAGUAUUUCUCCAGGGUCUCUCUAAGAAACAAUCGAAAAAUUGGAUGCUGUUUUUCAGAAAGGAAUACUCGAAAAUGACACUCUUUUUCUUUCCGAAAAUGAUAGAUAUAUAUAUGAAACAGUCUUGCNNNNNNNNNNNNNNNNNNNNNNNNNNNNNNNNNNNNNNNNNNNNNNNNNNNNNNNNNNNNNNNNNNNNNNNNNNNNNNNNNNNNNNNNNNNNNNNNNNNNUUUUUUUUUUUUAUUUCUUAUUUUUGUUCCAAAGUUGCUCUCACAAUAAAAAAAAAAAAGACCAGAAUAAAAGUAUAAACAAAUGAGUUUCUGUUCUUUUUUGGUUCUCUAGAACAAAAUAAUAAAAAUUUAUAUUUCGGGAAAAAAAAUAAUUUUAAAUGAACACACCCUAAGAUAUCUUUUGUAUUCCGGGGAAGUAGUUCAAUUGACGUGAGCCCGUGCGUCUUCCCUACAUGGGAAGGGUCGUCGCUGGGUCUCAUCUGACCUAAGCAAGCGCGUCUUCACAGCUAUUACCGCUCCCCUCCUACACUUCGUAGCUACCGCCACUCCCCUCCUAUAAAUCUCGGCUCGCCCGACGCCUUCGCCAUCGUCUCGGUGCAGUGCAGGGAACGAGCGAGCUCGAGCUAGACGACGGCAAUGGCGGCUUCGACGACGACGGUGAGGAGGAUCAAGCUGGGGUCGCAGGGCCUCGAGGUGUCGGCGCAGGGGCUGGGCUGCAUGAGCAUGUCCGCCUUCUACGGCCCUCCCAAGUCCGAGCCCGACAUGAUCGCCCUCAUCCACCACGCCGUCGGCUCCGGCGUCACCUUCCUCGACACCUCCGACGUCUACGGUCCUCACACCAACGAAAUCCUCCUCGGAAAGGUCGUUCUCUCAGUCUCUGUUUUGCGUCCGCAUGAAUUAUAUGUGCUUAUAGUGUUACGGAAUUUGGCUUCAUCGAGCAGAGUGCUCUGAUCCCGCGCCUUGGUUUUCUGAUUUCGGGGUUGAUUUUGAGCAGGCACUGAAGGGAGGGGUGAGGCAGAAGGUGGAAUUGGCGACCAAGUUCGGAAUCAGCUUCGCGGACGGGAAGAGGGAGGUCCGGGGCGAUCCGGCGUACGUGAGGGCGGCUUGCGAGGCCAGCUUGAAGCGGCUUGACAUCGAUUGCAUCGACCUCUACUACCAACAUCGCAUCGACACUCGCGUCCCCAUCGAAGUCACUGUAUGGAUCCCCCAUCAAACUUUCACCUCGCUUGAGACUUUCUCCGAGCCAUAUGAUUAGUUGCUAAGUUAGAUUGGUGUUGAUGAUGCAUCGUCAUGUUGUUACAAGUUUGUUGAAAUUUGUUAAAUGACACUUAAGUUCGGCUGAUAGCAGAGUUCAAGAUGCGGCACGUUGUUGUUCAAGGGGUUGUGGAAUUUAGUAGUUUAGUGGCUUGAGUUUUCGUUUUGUGGGCAUCUUUUACAAGUUAAGGGUCAACAAGCAUGAAAAUUAUUCAAAAUCUUCCUUUGAGAUGAAAGUGCUCCAGGGUUCAUCCAGAAUUUAUAUACGGGAAUCACAUAUAAAGUUGUUCCUGGACUUUAUGUGGAGACAUUUGAUUCUUAACAUAUUGUGAAAUAUGUCGAGUACUUGGAAUACUUAUUUUAUUUGCUCUCUUCUGUGAGAGAUUCAAGAAAUCUACCUCCGUUAACUCAAUACCUUGUGACUUUUUUGUCGCAUUGAGAUGCAUGAUAAUAGAGGGAUCUAGACGCAUAAAAAGCUAAUGACAUGCAUAAUUUUCUGGAUCUUAACAUGUAAGAUCUUGAUGUUGUUGUUCUGUCAUGUGAAUAUGCACAGAUCGGAGAGCUAAAGAAGCUCGUUGAAGAAGGUAAGAUAAAGUACAUCGGUUUAUCCGAGGCCUCUGCAUCAACAAUCAGAAGAGCACAUGCUGUUCAUCCCAUCACAGCAGUGCAAUUGGAGUGGUCGCUUUGGUCAAGAGAUGUGGAGGCAGAGAUCGUUCCAACGUGCAGGUAGGAUAUCACUCUGUUAAUUGUUUAUGCAGCAACAACAGCUUCCUUCUGACUCUGCUUUUCCUUUAAAAUGCUGACUAGGGAGCUUGGCAUUGGAAUUGUUGCCUACAGUCCUUUAGGACGAGGAUUCUUUUCUGUUGGCUCCAAGUUGGUGGAGAAUAUCUCUAAGGAUGACUUCAGACAGGUCUGUUCCUGCUUGUCAACAUAAUUAGAUGCUUACAUCAACUGUCAUUCUUAUUGAAGUGCUGGAAACCUGUUCUUGUGGUAUAAAGAAAAAGUAUCUGGAUGGGAUGAAUAAAACUUGGUGACACGAAUGCUUUGUGUUCUUAUAUGUCUUUAAUCCAGCACUUGCCAGACAUCCCACCUCUCUUGAUUCUAGAUAAAUGUAAAAUCACAAGUAAUGGCUUUAAUGAGCCUGAAAGAGGCAGUUUUCUGGAUUCUCGUGCUUUUGGGAAUGAAUACAUAUAGGUUUAUUUGUAAGUUGCUCUGUUUCCCAGCCUUCCCACCAUUUGCUAAUCACUAUCCUCUCCCCACUUUCCACCCACCCUUUUUCUCUCAUCUUUCUUCACAAGAUUAGCGAUAUUUCCUCAAAAUAGCUGACGCCAGUAGCGGGCUUUGGCCCUCCGUCCUUUUUCAUUCUCAUCUUUCUUCACAAGAUAAACUAUAUCUUGACACAACCAUUUCUUGAGUAAGGACUCCUAGCACCCUUCUUAUGAGAGUUUUGGAUCAAGUUCCCAUCUGACAUAAAGCCAAUUGAGUAUUACUCCCCGCCAUUAGCAUUUGACUAGCGAUAGUGCUGGGCAAGUGAAGUAGCUAUUUUUCUUUGUAGCUAAAAGAGCUCUGCGUCUGAUAACAUUCUUCUACACAUCAUCUACAUUUCUGAUAUUUAUUUUAUGUGUGACUAAUGGUAUCAUCACACAUACAAAACUUAGAUUGUCGAGUUUGUUUCUGUUUUCACAUCCUACAUCAAACCCAUCAGCCUUGUGUGGUAGUUUCUAGAUCACUUCGCUUGACGUUUCUAAUGCUUAUGAUUUGGGACAAGAUAUUUUAAUCAUGUCAAGAUAAUUUAUAACUGAUCAUGCUUUUCCAGAUACACAACGAUUGCGCACUUCUAAUGCUUAUUAUGUCAAGUAACAAGACAAUCCGAUGGCAUGCAAUGCAACCACUUUUGCACUCGUUGCUGUAGAAUCUAGCCUUAAAAGGAAAAUGAUAAUUGCUCAUAUGCUCUCUGCUGAGACAUUGCUCUAUGUUAUGCAGUAUCUACCAAGGUUCCGGCCAGAGAACUUGGCUCACAACACGAAGUUAUUUGACCGAGUGAAUGAAAUUGCGCAAAGAAAGGGAUGCACCACAUCGCAGUUAGCCCUGGCCUGGGUAUACCACCAGCGUGAUGAUGUUUGCCCAAUUCCCGGCACGACCAAGAUCGAGAAUUUCAACCAGAACACUGGAGCUAUGUCAGUGAAGCUUACACCGGAAGAGAUGGCCGAGCUUGAAUCGAUUGCUUCUGCGGACAAUGUCAAGGGUGGCAGGUACGAUGGAAGCAUGUCUACAUGGGAAAACUCCGACACUCCACCCCUUUCUUCUUGGAAACCUGCCUAGAAGCGUGUCUGCUUCUGUUGCUGCAUCUUUGAUGUGCAGAGUUUGAGCAUUUGCCGCUGAAGUAAUUUGAGUUUAUGUUAUGUGGCUGUUAUAAGUACGUGUAAUAAGAGAGUGACUGUUUUCAUUUUGUACAUGUGAUAUUCACUAU
rnacentral:lncRNA from 1 species